UACAGAGGGUGCAAGCGUUAAUCGGAAUUACUGGGCGUAAAGCGUGCGUAGACGGUUAUGUAAGUCAGGUGUGAAAGCCCCGGGCUCAACCUGGGAAUGGCAUUUGAGACUGCAUAGCUAGGGUGCGGAAGAGGGAAGCGGAAUUUCCGGUGUAGCGGUGAAAUGCGCAGAUAUCAGGAGGAACACCGGUGGCGAAGGCGGGACUCUGGGCCGAUACUGACGCUGAGGAGCGAAAGCGUGGGGAGCGAACAGG
rnacentral:rRNA from 1 species